rnacentral:rRNA from 1 species
UACGGAGGGUGCGAGCGUUGUCCGGAAUCACUGGGCGUAAAGGGCGCGUAGGCGGCUUCUUAAGCGUGUGGUGAAAGCUCAGGGCUCAACUCUGAGUCGGCCAUGCGAACUGGGAGGCUUGAGCACUGUAGAGGCAGGUGGAAUUCCGGGUGUAGCGGUGGAAUGCGUAGAGAUCCGGAAGAACACCGGUGGCGAAGGCGGCCUGCUGGGCAGUAGCUGACGCUGAGGCGCGACAGCGUGGGGAGCGAACAGG